rnacentral:rRNA from 1 species
UAUUGCUUCGCGAGUCGCAGACGGACGCCCCCGGAUGCGUCCGAGGGCGGUGCCGCCGGCCACACGCCCAUUCUUGUCUAUCUACCUGGUUGCCUCGGCGGGCCGCGCCCUCGUGCCGCGCCUCGAGGAGCCGUCCGGGGACGUUGAAGUCCCUGGACCGCGCCCGCCGGAGGAGUGAUUGAAAUCCAUGAAUACUGUUCAGUCUGAGCGUAAGCAAGUGAAAUCAGUUAAAACUUUCAACAACGGAUCUCUUGGUUCCGGCAUCGAUGAAGAACGCAGCGAAAUGCGAUAAGUAAUGUGAAUUGCAGAAUUCCGUGAAUCAUCGAAUCUUUGAACGCACAUUGCGCCCUCUGGUAUUCCGGGGGGCAUGCCUGUUCGAGCGUCAUUUCAACCCCUCAAGCCCGGCUUGUGUGAUGGACGACCGUCCCGCCCUCCCCGCCUCCGGGGAGGGGGACGCGCCCGAAAAGCAGUGGCCAGGCCGCGAUUCCGGCUCCUGGGCGAAUGGGCAACAAACCAGCGCCUCUAGGACCGGCCGGCUCUCUGGCCUAGUUUCCGUUAGGGAUGAAUUUCCCUACAAUCAGGUUGACCUCGGAUCAGGUAGGGAUACCCGCUGAACUUAAGCAUAUCAAUAAGCGGAGGAAUCUUUACGCGUAGGCGCAAACGGCCCCCCCCGGAUGGUCGAAGGCGGGUCCCCCGCCACCGCCCUUUUUGUCUAUCUACUGGGUUGCUCGGGGGCCGUCUUCUGCCCGCUCAAGGAACUCGGGGAGUUUAAAUUCUGGACCGCCGCCGAAGAGUGAAUGAAAUCCUGAAAACGUUUAUCGGAGCGUAAGCAA